AGCGAACGCUGGCGGCAGGCUUAACACAUGCAAGUCGAGCGGGCACUUCGGUGUCAGCGGCAGACGGGUGAGUAACACGUGGGAACGUACCCUUUGGUUCGGAAUAACGCUGGGAAACUAGCGCUAAUACCGGAUACGCCCUUUUGGGGAAAGGCUUGCUGCCGAAGGAUCGGCCCGCGUCUGAUUAGCUAGUUGGUGGGGUAAUGGCCUACCAAGGCGACGAUCAGUAGCUGGUCUGAGAGGAUGAUCAGCCACACUGGGACUGAGACACGGCCCAGACUCCUACGGGAGGCAGCAGUGGGGAAUAUUGGAAAAUGGGCGCAAGCCUGAUCCAGCCAUGACGCGUGAGUGAUGAAGGCCUUAGGGUUGUAAAGCUCUUUUGUCCGGGACGAUAAUGACGGUACCGGAAGAAUAAGCCCCGGCUAACUUCGUG
rnacentral:rRNA from 1 species